rnacentral:tRNA from 1 species
AUUAAUUUGGCAGAUUUAAGUGUAAUAAAUUUAGAAUUUAUUUAUGUUAUUUUAUUAACAAUUAAUA